AUCUGUAUCUCUCGGAAUUAGAGAACAACACACAAUUUCCAAAAUGCCAAGGUCAUAGUGUAGUCCUAUGUGAAUAUAUCCUAACAUGAGUAAAAUAGCA